rnacentral:rRNA from 1 species
AUCCNGCCNUGCCGCGUGCAGGAAGACUGCCCUAUGGGUUGUAAACUGCUUUUAUACAGGAAGAAACACUCUCACGUGUGAGAGCUUGACGGUACUGUAAGAAUAAGGAUCGGCUAACUCCGUGCCAGCAGCCGCGGUAAUACGGAGGAUCCAAGCGUUAUCCGGAAUCAUUGGGUUUAAAGGGUCCGUAGGUGGAUAAUUAAGUCAGAGGUGAAAUCCUGCAGCUCAACUGUAGAAUUGCCUUUGAUACUGGUUGUCUUGAGUUAUUAUGAAGUAGUUAGAAUAUGUAGUGUAGCGGUGAAAUGCAUAGAUAUUACAUAGAAUACCAAUUGCGAAGGCAGAUUACUAAUAAUAUACUGACACUGAUGGACGAAAGCGUGGGGAGCGAACAGGAUUAGAUACCCUGGGUAG